rnacentral:rRNA from 1 species
GUGAGACAGUUCGGUCUCUAUCCGUCGCGGGCGUUGGAAAUUUGAAGAGAGCCAUCCUUAGUACGAGAGGACCGGGAUGGACGCACCGCUGGUGUACCAGUUGUCAUGCCAAUGGCAUAGCUGGGUAGCUAUGUGCGGAAAGGAUAAGCGCUGAAAGCAUCUAAGCGUGAAGCCCCCUUUAAGAUGAGAUUUCCCAUUCCUAUAAGGAAGUAAGACCCCUGAAAGAAGAUCAGGUCGAUAGGCUCGAAGUGGAAGUGUGGUGACAUACGGAGCGGAC